CAGAACCAUAGUAAGGAAGAAACCCCCUAUCCACUAGUAUUGAUAAGAAACUUCUCCUAAGGCAAAAAGAAAAAAAUACGGGAACGAAGUUGAAGGGUAGACAUAGGGAUCAUUCGGGUUUAGAUGAUUAGGAGUAAGCACUUGGGAACCAUUGGGUAGUCAAGGUUUUAUUACUGUAUACAUUUGUUGGUCCUCACCUUUAGCAUU
rnacentral:lncRNA from 1 species